AUCUCGAGACGAAGUCAUUAACACUCCAAAAGAAGAUUACCAUCAAAUUUGGCUUUAUCGUUAUUGUAAUUUAAUGAAACACACACACACACAAUAACAUAUUAUCCAAACAUAAUCAGACUAAUGUGCUGUCAAAGGCCAUAACUUGGCUGCUCGCCAGGAAGAAGCCGUUCAUGUACAGUAGUUCAGUUCCAGUUUCUGUCAGGAGAUGGCAGUGCAGUUGUACGUGCUCUUGAAAACGUCACUAUUAAACACCCCAAAGAAGAUUAUUUAAAAGUGCCCGCAACAACUUAAGUGAUUUCUGUGAUUGUCAUAAAGGUAAAAUGAGACAACAUACAAAAUAUUAUUAUGUAUUAACUAACUAUAUUUUGACGUAAGUGUUGUAUGUGUGUAAUGCUGUAACUAAGCAAUAAAGACGCCACUAAUGUAGUUCCCACGGUGAUGGAACGUAAAGACAAACUUGGCACCCGACGUUGUCGUAACUUCUAGUUUAGCGAUAUUUGGCACACAGUUAUACAAGGUUAAACUCCACGUUUUACAUUUACAACAUGCAUUCAUCAUGGAUUUACGUCGAGAGGAAACGGGAGCUGCCACACGGGACGUUUCUGGGCUGAGGUUCAACAGUUUGACGUUAGAUGAGUUGAGUAAGGAGCUCGAGAGGUGCACAGAGGAAACCCAGAGGCUUCAGGACGAGGUGGAACAUGCAACCAGAGCCGCUUUGGAGAAGUUUGGCUAUACAUCCAAACACUUUUGUACGACUGGAAUGAAUCAGGGUCAGAGGGACGUCAGCCCCACUAUAAAGGCCCAGGAAACAGCACUCCAUCUUCGACAUUUGUCUGAUGAUGUCAUGCACCUUUGUGAGCAGCCAGUGGAACACGUAAAGCAUAGAGACCCCAGUGAAAGGCAGAAUGACAGAAUGGAAGAACUGAUUGCAAGUGUUGGCCAGGAGGUGGAGAUGUUGAACCACAAACUGAACUCGUCUCAAGACAACGGGGUUUGCAUCAGUACCAAGCUGGAACUGUUACGGACAUCGUUGCAGCAGCAGUUGAAGACUGGUGACCAGAAUUUGUGUAGGCUUCAGGAGGAGGUACAAAACCCGGGAGGAGAGAGGAAACAAGCUCGGCCGGAGGAGAACGACCACAAAACCAAACGGCAACCUUCCCGGCUGGAAGAAGCUCAGAGGCGGUACGUGACCCUUCUCGCCGAAAAAGAGACCCUGAGGCUUGAACUGGAGGACAGAGACAAGAUGAGAUGCUCGGGUGUCAGCUGGAGAAGAGCGACCAGACCAUCAACAGCCUUCACCGGGAGAACGCCCUCCUCAGCACCCAAAUGAAGCAGCUCGAGGUUGGGCACCUAGAGAGCCUAGAGAAGCAGCGACUCGCCAUCUCUGGAGUUUCAAGGUAAAAAUGUAACUCCACCUGGACUGGACUCCCUGAUCCCAUCUACUGCACUCGCUGAUCCUCGUCCCUCCACACAGGACACCCGCAACGCCCGGAUCAAGCAUCGGGGCCCCCCAUGGAUGCGUCCCUCUCUUCGCUACUCCUCUCUCUCUACACAAACGGCAAAAGGACAAACUCUGACUACAACGGGCAGACAGGACUGCCGAAAAAAAUCGUCGGUACCUCCCCAACCCACUGUUGGGGACUUGCACGCUGCCAGAACUAAGAGAAGAUCAUGCAAAAUCCUCUUGGACCCUCCACAUCCUGGUCACCACCUCUUCCAGCUCCUUCAGGAAACCAGGAAUUGGUCCCGGUAGAUAAAUCCAGCUGUACUGCACCUUUAAUGGCUGGCCUGGCACGCAUCUAUCACCUCCAGUGAAGAGGCCCUGGCUCUCCCCCACCCACGGCUCGACAACCUGGCUUGUAUAUCAGCCCCCCCCACUCCACCCCACCUCGCCUUACACGGCCUGUCUCGGGCGCCUUUGCAAGGCACCAUGACUUAAUGUGCGGUACCAGGCUCCGCUGUGGUGCGGCCCCACUGUGGGAUUUAAUGGUAGAUACUGUAAAGGAGACGGGAGCUGUGCAAAUAGACAGGAUGAAUGGUAGUAAAGCUUAUACAGUUGAACCUCAAUAGAAUGGUCUAAUAGGGGCCGGAGGGUCGUCCGAUAUAGCCGAUUGUCCGUUACAUUGAAGCACUUUUUUGAGGCCUUAUGCACCCAUAUUACUGUACAGUACAAAAUUAUUAAUUUUCUAGGAUUUUCUUCAUGGCCUAAAAUGCCCAGUACAGUACAAAGUUAUUGUAAGUAAAUAUAAAAAAAGCAUGAAAAUAUCAAACAAGACAAUGACCCUAAGCACACAGCUAAAAUAACGAAGGAGUGGCUUCAGAACAACUCUGUGACUGUUCUUGAAUGGCCCAGCCAGAGCCCUGAUUUAAACCCAAUUGAGCAUCUCUGGAAAGACCUGAAAAUGGCUGCCCACCAACGUUCACCAUCCAACCUGACAAAACUGGAGAGGAUCUGCAAGGAGGAAUGGCAGAUGAUCUCCAAAUCCAGGCAUGAAAAACUUGUUGCAUCAUUCCCAAAAAGACUCAAAAGGGUGCUUCUACUAAAUACUGAGCAAAGGGUCUGAAUACUUAUGGCUGUGUGAUAUUUCAGUUUUCUUUUGAAAUAAAUCUGCAAAAAUUUCAACAAUUCUGUUUUUUUUUUACUGUCAAUAUGGAGUGCUUUGUGUACAUUAAUGUAGAAA